rnacentral:rRNA from 1 species
UACGUAGGGUGCGAGCGUUGUCCGGAAUUACUGGGCGUAAAGAGCUCGUAGGUGGUUUGUCGCGUUGUUCGUGAAAACUCACAACUCAAUUGUGGGCGUGCGGGCGAUACGGGCAGGACUGGAGUACUGCAGGGGGAGACUGGAAUUCCUGGUGUAGCGGUGGAAUGCGCAGAUAUCAGGAGGAACACCGGUGCGAAGGCGGGUCUCUGGGCGAGUAACUGACGCUGAGGACGAAAGCGUGGGGAGCAACAGGAUUAGAACCUUCCGAGU